rnacentral:rRNA from 1 species
UACAGAGAGUGCAGGCGUUAAUCGGAAUUACUGGGCGUAAAGCGCACGUAGGUGGAAUCUUAAGUCAGAUGUGAAAUCCCCGGGCUUAACUUGGGAAUUGCAUUUGAUACUGGGUUUCUAGAAUAUGGUAGAGGGAAGUGGAAUUUCCGGUGUAGCGGUGAAAUGCGUAGAUAUCGGAAAGAACACCAGUGGCGAAAGCGGCUUCCUGGCCUGCGACUGACGCUGUGGCGCGAAAGCUAGGGGAGCGAACGGG